UUCCUCAGCUCUCAUGUUCAGGUGCUCAUGCUCAGAAUGGUGUCGCUGAACGCAAACAUCGUCAUCUCAUUAAGACUGCUCGGACACUUCUCAUUGCAUCUUUUGUGCCCUCUCAUUUUUGGGGAGAAGCCAUUUCUACAGUUGUAUAUCUAAUCAAUCGACAACCUUCUUCUAAACUUGCUGGAAAAUGUCCUGGUGAGAUUCUUUGUGGGAUACCUCCUAACUAUGAUCACCUCCGAGUUUUUGGGUGCACGUGCUAUGUCUUGCUUGCACCUCGUGAGAGAACUAAGUUGACUGCACAGUCUGUUGAAUGUGUUUUUCUUGGUUACAAUCCUGAGCAUAAGGGUUACCAUUGUUAUGAUCCUUCCUCACGUCGCAAGCGUAUCUCUCGUGAUGUGACAUUUGUUGAGAAUUGUCCAUUCUUUUAUAACCCUUCUACUCAGCCCUCAGAUUCUCCCACAGAGUCCACAUCGUUUCUCUUUCUUCCUCCUAUUUCAUCAAGCGAUACUGCCACACUACUACCGCCACCACCACCUGAUACCCUUAUUCCCGAUCCGGCUCCUUCCAUCACACCUAUUCCUGUUGAUCCUCCAUCACCACCACCGCCACCUCCUCCACCCUCUAAACCACCUAUCACCAAAGUUUACACCCGUCGUCCCAAAGCUCCUACUGAACCUCCAUCUACUCCUCCUUCCUCGAUCACUCCCGAUAUUUUUAAUGAUUCUAAUACUCUUUCUGAGUCACAUGAUGCUUCUGAUGAGCCACAGGUUGGUCAGCACUACAAUCUACGUGAUCGUACCACAAUUGAGCCACCUGACAAGUUGGGGUUCCCACGUGUUGGUGCUGUUAUUGGUGAGCCAUCCAGUUAUCAUGAAGCCGCCAAUAUUCUAGAGUGGCAAGCUGCUAUGACUGAGGAACUUGCUGCACUUGAGCGCACAUGUACUUGGGAUCUUGUUCCAUUGCCAUCUCAUGCAGUACCUAUCACAUGCAAAUGGGUAUUCAAAAUUAAAACCAAAUCAGAUGGUUCUAUUGAGAGAUAUAAAGCUCGCUUGGUUGCCAGGGGUUUUCAGCAAACUCAAGGUGUUGAUUAUGAUGAGACAUUUGCUCCAGUUGCUCACAUGACCACUGUUCGCACUCUAAUUGCAGUGGCUGCUUCUUGUUCUUGGACUAUCUCUCAUAUGGAUGUUAAGAAUGCUUUUCUCCAUGGUGAUUUACAUGAGGAAGUGUAUAUGCAACCCCCACUAGGUGUUCAUGCACCUUCAGGAUAUGUUUGUCGUCUUCGUCGUGCAUUAUAUGGUCUCAAACAGGCUCCUCGUGCUUGGUUUGAGCGCUUUGUUUCUGUGAUACGGACUGCUGGCUUUUCACCAAGUGAGCAUGAUCUAGCCUUAUUUAUUCAUCGUUCUCCACAUGGACGCACUUUACUUCUUCUAUAUGUUGAUUAUGGGAGAUGAUAUGGAGCACAUUUCUCAUGUGAAGAAGCAACUUGGGGAGCAAUUUCAGAUGUCUGAUUUAGGUCCUCUCAGUUAUUUCUUAGGGAUUGAGGUUUUGCGUUCUGCCAAGGGCUAUUAUCUUUCUCAGUCCAAAUAUAUACAAGAUCUUCUUGCUCGCUCUGGCAUUUCCGAUAGUCGGAUUGCUACAACACCUAUGGAUCUUCACUUGCAGCUUCGUCCUACUGAUGGUGCCCCCUUGGAGGAUCCCUCUCGAUAUAGGCAUAUUGUUGGGAGUCUUGUUUAUCUAACUGUUACUCGACCUGACAUUGCUCAUGUUGUGCAUAUCUAGAGUCAGUUUGUGAGUGCUCCUACUUCGGUUCACUUUGGACACUUGCUUCAUGUGCUACGUUACUUAAGGGGGACAACAUCUCAGUGUUUGCUUUAUGCUUAUGAUAGUCCACUCCGUCUUCAUGCUUACUCGAACUCCACUUGAGCGAGUGAGCCCACAGACCAUCGUUCAGUCACUGGUUAUUGUAUCCUUCUUGGUUCUUCUCCUCUUGUUUGGAAGUCCAAGAAGCAGUCAGCUGUAUCUCGAUCAAGUACAGAGGCAGAACUUCGAGCACUUGCCACUACCACUUCAGAGAUUGUAUGGCUUCGUUGGUUGUUAGCUGAUUUUGGUAUUUCUUGUGAUACCCCCACACCUCUCCUUUGUGAUAAUACCGGAGUCAUACAGAUUGCUAAUGAUCCGGUGAAGCAUGAACUCACAAAGUAUAUUGGUGUUGAUGCAUCUUUUACUCGCUCUCAUUGUCAUCAACAGAAAAUUGCUCUUCAGUAUGUGCCAUCAGAGCUGCAAGUAGCAGAUUUUUUCACUAAAACACAAACUCGAGAGCAACAUCGACUUCAUUUGCUCAAACUCAAUGCUUCCGAUCCUCCACCUCCGCCUUGAGUUUGAAGGGGGGUGUUAAGGCCCAAGAGGCCCACUAUGCUUAUAUACACACAACAAGACUACUGUCUCACCCUCUUGUUCAUUCUUCCUGAAGGUAUUCUAACAGAUGCCACUGCUUAGCAUUGGGAUGCUGAAUAGCCGGAGAUUGAUUAUGUACUUUAGUAAUAGGCUUUUCCAAUCAAGCAAUCCUCUUCGUAGUAUAGGGUCAACGGAGGGGAACUUGGUCGCCGCUCCGACCAGGCAGCUGCAAUGCCACUCGGGUGCGUGCCAUCGACGUGGCAUGGUUGCAUUGUGUGGCUCAAAAUGACAGUUGUUUGACGAUGUGAAAGUCAGAGUGACUGCUCGGCCAUGGCCAGGAACAUCCCUAUCUUUGGCUAUACUGAAUAAUUCUUGUGUGUAUCGUCUUCUUCUUGUGCUUGUAGCUAUAUUUAGCUAAGCGCAUGACUAUGUCUUCUGGUUGCACGCACGUUCAGCUCGACACAGACUUUAUAGUCGCAUUAGAGCGGGUCUCAAUGGCGCCAACUGUGGAUUGCUCGUUCAUGCCGUGAGUCUAGCAGGCUAUUCUGGGCAAUUUCUGUGCAUAAGAGUGUCCUUUAAAUUCAUUCGAAUGCAUCCUGAAAAGAUAUCGGUCUGCAAUAAUAAAAAAACUUCUAGUCCUCAUGUUCGAGUGUGCAUCAGUGCGUGUCCAAUCCACGGCUCGAUUUUUACCCCUAGCUAAUAAGCUGCUCAGUUGUUCCAAUAAACUUGGCAUCAAUCUCGUUAGCGCGUCUCCUGCACACCCCCGGAGGAUUAAAUGGAAGUUUCUGUCUAUGUGCUUGCUUCUGUCGUGAUGCACUGUUGAUGAUAAUGAAGAACCCAGUGCACCACGACGGAGCCAGCACAUUGACAAAAAAUUCCAUUUCAUAUGGAGUUUGUAAAGAGAGGGUAGAUUGAUAUGUCAAGUCCAUCAGAACACACCAAGCUGUGUAUUUGAAGGCAUCAAGUUUUCACAUGCUUCUCGAAAGAUCGGGUUCACCAACGUGAAGUAAGCAUAGCUUGAGGUAGGAUUUUUUGUUGAAUAAUUGUUCAGUGAGGUUUUUUUUUUGUUCUAGCUAUAAUUUCCCAAGCGCUUGGCCAUGCCUUUUUUUUUUUUGUUCAGCUCAGGUGGACAGGUGGUUGUCUAGGAGAAAACUCCUCUACACAAGUAAAGUCUGCCAUGGUCCAAUGCCGGCCAACAUCGUCCUGGAGGUGCAGCGCCCACACUGCAUCAUCCUCUGAAUAAGUGCAAGACGUGUGGUUUCAGAUGUUUAGCUUCAGAAACUGCCAUGUUUGAUCACCUCAAUACAUUCACUCAGGACAACGAUGAUAAAGACGGUAUGUACAUGACCAAGAUUGGCCACGUUCUUGGUCGUUGCGGGCCUACCGUUUCAAGGUCCUGUCGUGAUUGCCAGUUGAAGGAGCUGAGCUCCGACCUACUUGAAACUCAGUCCAUUUCCAACCAAGAACAGGUGCGGAACAAGGUGCAGCAGAAGGGUGAAAAUUGCUUUGUCAUGAACCAAACAACCGUGUCAGAUGUAAAAACUAUAGAGAUUAAGUUGGCACGUUACGUUUCCACAGAGCUACUCAAGACCCCUAAUCCCUGAUCCCUUCUGGAAGGUAAAAUGAUCUAGACGUAUUUUCCCAUAACUCUGUUUUCCAAUGUUUCAGGAAAGCUUGGGAUAAUUGUCACUGGCGAAGUGCAGGGACACGAUGUUUCCCCCCAUCAGCACUUUUUGGAUCAAGACUGCAGCCGUUAUAUGCGUACGGAUUGCAUUUGUAGUAGUAGUAGUAGUAGUAGUAGUAUGUGUUAAAUUCUCACAAGGGUGUGAUUGUAUCAUCCUCUUCAUGAUGUUGUUACUUAAGGUCAUGCUGGUUGACGACAGCAGCAUCAUACUUGUUGUACUGCUAGUUUAAGAGAAAAUAUGGGUACUUGGUUCAAGCAAUCUCUUUACACUCUUCCUAGUAUACUCUGUUAAAAAUAUCAUCCGUUUCUUACUUGAUGGUCAUGCAA